rnacentral:rRNA from 1 species
UGUGAACUCGAAGAGUAGGGCGGGACACGUGGUAUCCUGUCUGAAUAUGGGGGGACCAUCCUCCAAGGCUAAAUACUCCUGACUGACCGAUAGUGAACCAGUACCGUGAGGGAAAGGCGAAAAGAACCCCGGCGAGGGGAGUGAAAAAGAACCUGAAACCGUGUACGUACAAGCAGUGGGAGCACCUUCGGGUGUGACUGCGUACCUUUUGUAUAAUGGGUCAGCGACUUAUAUUCUGUAGCAAGGUUAACCGUAUAGGGGAGCCGCAGGGAAACCGAGUCUUAACUGGGCGUUAAGUUGCAGGGUAUAGACCCGAAACCCGGUGAUCUAGCCAUGGGCAGGUUGAAGGUUGGGUAACACUAACUGGAGGACCGAACCGACUAAUGUUGAAAAAUUAGCGGAUGACUUGUGGCUGGGGGUGAAAGGCCAAUCAAACCGGGAGAUAGCUGGUUCUCCCCGAAAGCUAUUUAGGUAGCGCCUCGUGAAUUCAUCUUCGGGGGUAGAGCACUGUUUCGGCUAGGGGGUCAUCCCGACUUACCAACCCGAUGCAAACUACGAAUACCGAAGAAUGUUAUCACGGGAGACACACGGCGGGUGCUAACGUCCGUCGUGAAGAGGGAAACAACCCAGACCGCCAGCUAAGGUCCCAAAGUCAUGGUUAAGUGGGAAACGAUGUGGGAAGGCACAGACAGCCAGGAUGUUGGCUUAGAAGCAGCCAUCAUUUAAAGAAAGCGUAAUAGCUCACUGGUCGAGUCGGCCUGCGCGGAAGAUGUAACGGGGCUAAACCAUGCACCGAAGCUGCGGCAGCGACACGAUGUGUUGUUGGGUAGGGGAGCGUUCUGUAAGCCUGCGAAGGUGUGCUGUGAGGCAUGCUGGAGGUAUCAGAAGUGCGAAUGCUGACAUAAGUAACGAUAAAGCGGGUGAAAAGCCCGCUCGCCGGAAGACCAAGGGUUCCUGUCCAACGUUAAUCGGGGCAGGGUGAGUCGACCCCUAAGGCGAGGCCGAAAGGCGUAGUCGAUGGGAAACAGGUUAAUAUUCCUGUACUUGGUGUUACUGCGAAGGGGGGACGGAGAAGGCUAUGUUAGCCGGGCGACGGUUGUCCCGGUUUAAGCAUGUAGGCUGGUU